GACGAACGCUGGCGGCGUGCCUAAUACAUGCAAGUCGAGCGCAGGAAGCUGACGGAACUCUUCGGAGGGAAGGCAGCGGAAUGAGCGGCGGACGGGUGAGUAACACGUAAGGAACCUGCCUCAAGGAUUGGGAUAACUCCGAGAAAUCGGAGCUAAUACCGGAUAGUUCAACGGACCGCAUGGUCCGCUGAUGAAAGGCGCUUCGGCGUCACCUUGAGAUGGCCUUGCGGUGCAUUAGCUAGUUGGUGGGGUAACGGCUCACCAAGGCGACGAUGCAUAGCCGACCUGAGAGGGUGAUCGGCCACACUGGGACUGAGACACGGCCCAGACUCCUACGGGAGGCAGCAGUAGGGAAUCUUCCACAAUGGACGAAGGUCUGAUGGAGCAACGCCGCGUGAGUGAUGAAGGUUUUCGGAUCGUAAAACUCUGUUGUAAGGGAAGAAUACGUACGAGAGGGAAUGCUCGUACCUUGACGGUACCUUACGAGAAAGCCACGGCUAACUACGUGCCAGCAGCCGCGGUAAAAC
rnacentral:rRNA from 1 species